rnacentral:misc_RNA from 1 species
AUGGGGUCAAUCAGUUUCCCUGCACACAUUGCUGAGAAAACCUUGUCAAACUCUUCGCCGGGCGAGCGAACCGUCUCGCCGGUUAGCAAACCAGUACCCAAUUCUUCCCUAACAAACUUGUAUAAUGGGUAUGACCUGCAUUCUUUGAUCUUGUUAGGAAUAGCUGGAUUACCAUUCUCAUAUUCACUCCUGGCACCUUCUACUUCUUUUGGCAAAAGGGCCUUGAGUUCCUCUUCAAAAGCUCCAAUUUUUUGGAAAAUUGAUGUGCUUGAAUUCUUCUCCUUUUCACCAUUCAUCAAGGCAUGAUCAACUAGUACUUGCCUUAGCUUUUCCAUUAAUGGGUAUGUUGCACUGCAAGGAUCAUCAGCGUAGGCGAACACGUAUUCCCUGUCAAUCACUUUGAGAAGGUCCUUUUCACAAAAUCUUGAUGGGUGGAGCUCGCCAUUGAAGCCCAUUGUUAGGACUCUCUUUGCAACUUGACUUACUGU